rnacentral:tRNA from 1 species
GAGGGUAUAGCUCUAGUGGUAGAGCACAUGCUUAGCAUGCAGGAGGCCCUGGGUUCAAUCUCCAGAACCUUCU